rnacentral:rRNA from 1 species
UUGGCUUAGAAGCAGCCACCAUUUAAAAAGUGCGUAACAGCUUACCAGUCGAGCAUUUCUGCGCCGAUAAUGAACGGGAGUAAGUAUUUCACCGAAGCAGCGGGCUCUAGCUUGCUAGAGCGGUAGGAGAGCGCCGAUGAUCAGAUACAAGCCAUACGGAAACGAGUGGUGUCGGGGUCAUCGGGUGAUUAUGCCGGAAUGAGUAACGAUAAAACAGGUGAGAAUCCUGUUCGCCGAAAGCCUAAGGUUUCCUGGGGAAGGUAAUUCCGCCCAGGGUUAGCCGGUGCCUUAGUCGAGGCCGAAGGGCGUAGACGAUGGACAGCAGGUCAAUAUUCCUGCGCCACUGGCACACUUCGAUGCUGGGACGGCGUCCGAAAAGUGAGCGGUACGACUAGAAAUGUCCGUAGCGAAGGCCAAGGUGUCCGGGGUUAAAUGACCGGGCGUAAGCCAAGGCGUAGCUCGAGAGCACCUAAGUUCUCGAAGUCACUGGAAGGACGUCCAAGAAAAGCAGCUAAGAUAGUGUGUGUCGGUGACCGUACUAAAACUGACACAGGUAGGCGAGAUGAGUAAUCUAAGGCGCUCGGGAGAACGGUGGUUAAGGAACUCUGCAAAAUGGCCCCGUAAGUUCGCGAUAAGGGGCGCCCACGCAAGUGGGCCACAGAAAAUCGGCUCUAGCGACUGUUUAUCAAAAACACAGGACUCUGCUAACUCGCAAGAGGAUGUAUAGAGUCUGACGCCUGCCCGGUGCUGGUAGGUUAAGGAAGAGGGUUAGCGAAAGCGAAGCUCGCGACCGAAGCCCCAGUAAACGGCGGCCCUAACUAUGAGGGUCCUAAGGUAGCGAAGUUCCUUGUCGGGUAAGUUCCGACCUGCAUGAAAGGCGUAACGACUGGAGCACUGUCUCGACCACCGACCCGGUGAAAUUGUAGUUGUGGUGAAGAUGCCACAUACCCGCGGUUAGACGGAAAGACCCCGUGAACCUUUACUGUAGGCUGAUAUUGGGUUGAGGUAUGUCUUGUGUAGGAUAGCUGGGAGGCUUUGAAGCGGGCACGCUAGUGUCUGUGGAGCCGUCGUUGAAAUACCAGCCUGGUCAUGCUUUAAUUCUAACUUCGAUCCCAUGAAUCUGGGCGAAGGACAGUGUCAGUUGGGCAGUUUGACUGGGGCGGUCUCCUCCUAAAGAGUAACGGAGGAGUACAAAGGUACACUCAGCCUGGUCGGUAAUCAGGCGAAGAGCGUAAAGGUAGAAGUGUGCUUGACUGCGAGAGAUAUAACUCGAGCAGGGACGAAAGUCGGUCUUAGUGAUCCGGUAAUCCCGAAUGGAAGGGUUAUCGCUCAUCAGAUAAAAGGUACUCCGGGGAUAACAGGCUUAUCGCCACCGAGCGUCCACAGCGGCGUGGCGGUUUGGCACCUCGAUGUCGGCUCAUCACAUCCUGGGGGUGAAGAAGCUCCCAAGGGUUUGGCUGUUCGCCAAUGAAAGUGGUACGUGAGCUGGGUUCAGACCGUCGUGAGACAGGUCGGUCCCUAUCUGCCGUGGGCGUACGAAACUUGAGGAGAUUCUUCUUUAGUACGAGAGGAUUUAGAAGGACGUAGCUCUGGUGUACCAGUUGUCACGCUAGUGGCACGGCUGGAUAGCUAACUACGGAAAGGAUAAACGCUGAAAGCAUCUAAGCGUGAAGCCCUCCCCAAGAUUAGGGUUCGUAAGUCAUUUGACGAAAGCCCCCUGAAAGACGAUCAGGUUGAUAGGCUGGACGUGUAAGUGGGGUAACCCAUUGAGCAAACCAGUACUAACGGGCGAAUGAUUGGCC